rnacentral:rRNA from 1 species
GAUGAACGCUGGCGGCGUGCCUAAUACAUGCAAGCCGAGCGAACGGACGAGAAGCUUGCUUCUCUGAUGUUAGCGGCGGACGGGUGAGUAACACGUGGAUAACCUACCUAUAAGACUGGGAUAACUUCGGGAAACCGGAGCUAAUACCGGAUAAUAUUUUGAACCGCAUGGUUCAAAAGUAAAAGACGGUCUUGCUGUCACUUAUAGAUGGAUCCGCGCUGCAUUAGCUAGUUGGUAAGGUAACGGCUUACCAAGGCAACGAUGCAUAGCCGACCUGAGAGGGUGAUCGGCCACACUGGAACUGAGACACGGUCCAGACUCCUACGGGAGGCAGCAGUAGGGAAUCUUCCGCAAUGGGCGAAAGCCUGACGGAGCAACGCCGCGUGAGUGAUGAAGGUCUUCGGAUCGUAAAACUCUGUUAUUAGGGAAGAACAUAUGUGUAAGUAACUGUGCACAUCUUGACGGUACCUAAUCAGAAAGCCACGGCUAACUACGUG